UACGAAGGGGGCUAGCGUUGCUCGGAAUCACUGGGCGUAAAGGGUGCGUAGGCGGGUCUUUAAGUCAGGGGUGAAAUCCUGGAGCUCAACUCCAGAACUGCCUUUGAUACUGAAGAUCUUGAGUUCGGGAGAGGUGAGUGGAACUGCGAGUGUAGAGGUGAAAUUCGUAGAUAUUCGCAAGAACACCAGUGGCGAAGGCGGCCUUCUGGUCCAGUACUGACACUCAAGUGCGAAAGCGUGGGGAGCAAACAGG
rnacentral:rRNA from 1 species